AAGUCGUAACAAGGUUUCCGUAGGUGAACCUGCGGAAGGAUCAUUACAAAUCCAUCCAUCGUCCUCUUCUGGACAACGUUGCAAACAAACUAACUCAUUGAGACACAACACCACACCACAAUUGUACAACAGCUUCUUGCAAAAGAAACAAAAAAACAAACAAAAGUACAACUUACAACAAUGGAUCUCUAGGCUCUU
rnacentral:misc_RNA from 1 species